rnacentral:rRNA from 1 species
CUCUCCCGGCACACGUGUAAGUCAGAUCGGACAAACCACUGACAAAUAACGGACCCAAAACAAGAGGGUAAUACAACAAACACAACAAACAAGAAAAGCUUGUAUAGCCAAUAACCGUUAACCCAACACAGGAGUGCCCCAAGGAAAGACUAAAAGGAGAAGAAGGAACUCGGCAAACACGAACCCCGCCUGUUUACCAAAAACAUCGCCUCUUGCUAAAAAAGAAGUAUUAGAGGUCCCGCCUGCCCUGUGACCACAGUGUUUAACGGCCGCGGUAUCCUGACCGUGCGAAGGUAGCGUAAUCACUUGUCUUUUAAAUGAAGACCUGUAUGAAUGGCAUCACGAAGGUUCAACUGUCUCCUUCCCCCAGUCAAUGAAAUUGAUCUGCCCGUGCAGAAGCGGACAUAAAAACAUAAGACGAGAAGACCCUGUGGAGCUUUAGGCCAAGGAUCAAACAUGUAAAACAGACUCAAACCCUAAAAAGAAUAAUAAAAGUCCAAAAACCAAGAGUAACCUGAUCCUAAUGCCUUCGGUUGGGGCGACCGCGGGGGAAAAUAAAGCCCCCACAUGGAAUGGAACUACUUCCUAAACCAAGAGUUACAACUCUAAGUAACAGAAUUUCUGACCACCUAUGACCCAGGACAAACAUAAACCUGAUCAAUGAACCAAGUUACCCCAGGGAUAACAGCGCAAUCCUUUCCCAGAGUCCAUAUCGACGAAAGGGUUUACGACCUCGAUGUUGGAUCAGGACAUCCUAAUGGUGCAGCCGCUAUUAAGGGUUCGUUUGUUCAACGAUUAAUAGUCCUACGUGAUCUGAGUUCAGACCGGAGUAAUCCAGGUCGGUUUCUAUCUAUGAAACUACUUCUUCCCAGUACGAAAGGAUCGGAAAAAGGGGGCCCAUACUAAAAGCAAGCCCCACCUCUACCUUAUGAAAACAAAUAAAAGAG